UCUGGAGGCGUAGGUUCGAAUCCUGCCGUUGUCG
rnacentral:tRNA from 1 species